rnacentral:rRNA from 1 species
CCUACGGGGGGCUGCAGUGGGGAAUAUUGCACAAUGGGCGCAAGCCUGAUGCAGCCAUGCCGCGUGUGUGAAGAAGGCCUUCGGGUUGUAAAGCACUUUCAGCGGGGAGGAAGGCGUUAAGGUUAAUAACCUUGGCGAUUGACGUUACCCGCAGAAGAAGCACCGGCUAACUCCGUGCCAGCAGCCGCGGUAAUACGGAGGGUGCAAGCGUUAAUCGGAAUUACUGGGCGUAAAGCGCACGCAGGCGGUCUGUCAAGUCGGAUGUGAAAUCCCCGGGCCCAACCUGGGAACUGCAUUCGAAACUGGCAGGCUAGAGUCUGGUAGAGGGGGGUAGAAUUCCAGGUGUAGCGGUGAAAUGCGUAGAGAUCUGGAGGAAUACCGGUGGCGAAGGCGGCCCCCUGGACAAAGACUGACGUUCAGGUGCGAAAGCGUGGGGAGCAAACAGGAUUAGAUACCCUAGUAGUC